rnacentral:rRNA from 1 species
GACGAACGCUGGCGGCGUGCUUAACACAUGCAAGUCGAACGAAGUGGCGAACGGGUGAGUAACGCGUAAUCAACCUGCCCUUCAGAGGGGGACAACAGUUGGAACCGACUGCUAAUACCGCAUACUGAUGGGGUGGAUUGCGUGUGAUUAGCUAGUGGGAGGGGUAAAGGCUCACCAAGGCGAAGAUCAGUAGCCGGUCUGAGAGGAUGACCAGCCACAUUGGAACUGAGACACGGCCCAGACCCUACGGGAAGCAACAGUGGGGAAACUUCCGCAAUGGAGCGAAGGCUGACGGAGCAAAGGCGGGUGGUUGAUGACAGCCUUCGGGUUGGAAAGGUAUGUUAAGCGGGACGCGGUACCGGAAUAGAAAGCAACGGCUAACUACGUGCCAGCCGCCGCGGUAAUAC